rnacentral:rRNA from 2 species
UGUAAGACUGGGAUAACACCGGGAAACCGGUGCUAAUACCGGAUAAUCCUUUUCCUCUCAUGAGGAAAAGCUGAAAGACGGUUUCGGCUGACACUUACAGAUGGGCCCGCGGCGCAUUAGCUAGUUGGUGAGGUAACGGCUCACCAAGGCGACGAUGCGUAGCCGACCUGAGAGGGUGAUCGGCCACACUGGGACUGAGACACGGCCCAGACUCCUACGGGAGGCAGCAGUAGGGAAUCUUCCACAAUGGACGAAAGUCUGAUGGAGCAACGCCGCGUGAGCGAUGAAGGCCUUCGGGUCGUAAAGUUCUGUUGUUAGGGAAGAACAAGUACCGGAGUAACUGCCGGUACCUUGACGGUACCUAACCAGAAAGCCACGGCUAACUACGUGCCAGUAGCCGCGGUAUUACGUAGGCGGCAAGCGUUGUCCG